AUAUAGGAUUCUGACAGCUGACAAAUGACAUUCCAAGAACUUAGCCGGAGCCCAGAUUGUGCACUGCUGUGGGAAUUUCUCCUCAUAGAUAUGUCCAACAACUCUGCUCUGGAGAAAAUGCUCAGAUGAGGAAACUGGGACUUGGGGGCUUUGCUUGAGAGAGCUGGGACAGAAACUGAGUCUUUUGGCUUCAAGUUCAUGAUUCAUUUAAAUGGCUGUGUUGUGUGGCCAUGUCUCCCUGAGUGACAAGCAGGCUGGUUAUGUGGAGUUGUCAGCACACAGGCCUCCCUGAAGACGGCCUUCUCCUCCAGGUGCCACGGUGUCAGGAGACACUCUCUCACAUUAGCACAAGCAGAAGAAUGAUGCACUGGACACUUGAAGUAAGAGCCCUUUGAAGCUGACGUGCUGCAGGAUAAAACACACUCUUUCUCUGGAAAAGAGAAAGCCAAGAUACUGUGGGAGCACAAGGAACAAUGAAGCCAAUGAAACGGAGGUCAGAGCUGAAGGUUUCUGCUAGAAGCAAGCUAUAUACA